rnacentral:lncRNA from 10 species
CCUGGUUUUAGUGUUUUGAUUGCUACUUUUGUGGUUCCAUUCCAUAUUCCCAUCCACACUUUGCCAAAACAUCCUUGUCCUAGUUUAACCUCUAGUCGCAAAGAUUAUCAAGGGAUUUCCCAAGCAUCUUUUGCUAGACCUUGAAUCUGAGGUUUCACAGUUGGACACACAGUUGUUAACUUGUGGCAUAAACCAUCAGCAUGUUCUGUGUAGUGUUUUGCCAAUUUCUGCAGAGUAUCAAGUUGUUCUCUGGUUGUGAUAUAGUAUCUACCAUUGUCAAGUUUCCUAAUUUUGUGGUGUUUCACAUUGUCACCCCUUACCUCAUCCCAAUCACGAAUAGAGAGGGAAUAAGCACCUUUAGUAGUUUCGCUCUCUCGUUUUUGUUUAUUUGAAAUUUUUCACCCUUCUUAAAUGAAAGGUCUUCUGUAGUUCUAGCUUCAUAAUCAUAUAAGGCCACAAAUAUAGUAACACCACGUGUUAAGCCAGCAGGAUAUGUUGUAUAGGGAAUCUUCAUGGCAGCUUUAUUCAUAACUUAUCUGAAAUGAUUCAAAGACUAUCAACAGGAAGAUAAGUAGAUU